rnacentral:rRNA from 1 species
CAAUAGCGUAUAUUUAAGUUGUUGCAGUUAAAAAGCUCGUAGUUGGAUUUCGGAUGGGAUUUGCCGGUCCGUCGUUACGAUGUGCACUGGCCAGUCCUAUCUUGUUGUCGGGGACUAGCUCCUUGGAUUCACUUCCUGGGACUAGGAGCUGACGAGGUUACUUUGAGUAAAUUAGAGUGUUCAAAGCAAGCCUACGCUCUGAAUACAUUAGCAUGGAAUAACACGAUAGGACUCUGGCUUAUCUUGUUGGUCUGUGAGACCAGAGUAAUGAUUAAGAGGGACAGUCGGGGACAUUCGUAUUUCAUUGUCAGAGGUGAAAUUCUUGGAUUUAUGAAAGACGAACUUCUGCGAAAGCAUUUGUCAAGGAUUUUUUCAUUAA